rnacentral:rRNA from 1 species
GACGAACGCUGGCGGCGUGCUUAACACAUGCAAGUCGAGCGGUAAGGCCCUUUCGGGGGUACGACGAGCGGCGAACGGGUGAGUAACACGUGGGUGACCUGCCCUCCAGCUCUGGGAUAAGCCUGGGAAACCGGGUCUAAUACCGGAUAUGACUCCAUGACGCAUGUUGUGGGGUGGAAAGCCUUGUGCGGCUGAGGAUGGGCCCGCGGCCUAUCAGCUUGUUGGUGGGGUGAUGGCCUACCAAGGCGACGACGGGUAGCCGGCCUGAGAGGGCGACCGGCCACACUGGGACUGAGACACGGCCCAGACUCCUACGGGAGGGCAGCAGUGGGGAAUCUUGCGCAAUGGGCGAAAGCCUGACGCAGCGACGCCGCGUGA